UCGAGUGCGCCUGUCACGGAAGAUCUGGGGGAAAAGAUCUCGUGGGUCCAUCGGUCAGAUUGAAAGGAGGUGUUGGGGGAAGACUUAGAAGAAUUCGGCGGUUGAGUUGGGGUCGGCGGGGUCGGAACUGGAGGCCAGCGGAGAGGGGUUGGGUCUCAGGGGUCGGGACCGGUCUGGAGGUUGAUCACUUAAGCUUGGAAAACUAAGACAGGUGAUCAGGGGCUCGGAUUAAG
rnacentral:lncRNA from 1 species